rnacentral:rRNA from 1 species
AUUCAAAUUUCUGCCCUAUCAACUUUCGAUGGUAGGAUAGUGGCCUACCAUGGUGGCAACGGGUAACGGGGAAUUAGGGUUCGAUUCCGGAGAGGGAGCCUGAGAAACGGCUACCACAUCCAAGGAAGGCAGCAGGCGCGCAAAUUACCCAAUCCCGAUACGGGGAGGUAGUGACAAUAAAUACUGAUACGGGGCUCUUUUGGGUCUCGUAAUUGGAAUGAGAACAAUUUAAAUCCCUUAACGAGGAACAAUUGGAGGGCAAGUCUGGUGCCAGCAGCCGCGGUAAUUCCAGCUCCAAUAGCGUAUAUUAAAGUUGUUGCAGUUAAAAAGCUCGUAGUUGAACCUUGGGUCUGGCUGGCCGGUCCGCCUCACCGCGAGUACUGUCCGGCUGGACCUUUCCUUCUGGGGAACCUCAUGGCCUUCACUGGCUGUGGGGGGAACCAGGACUUUUACUGUGAAAAAAUUAGAGUGUUCAAAGCAGGUUUUUGCUCGAAUACAUUAGCAUGGAAUAAUAGAAUAGGACGUGCGGUUCUAUUUUGUUGGUUUCUAGGACCGCCGUAAUGAUUAAUAGGGAUAGUCGGGGGCGUCAGUAUUCAGCUGUCAGAGGUGAAAUUCUUGGAUUUGCUGAAGACUAACUACUGCGAAAGCAUUCGCCAAGGAUGUUUUCAUUAAUCAGGGAACGAAAGUUAGGGGAUCGAAGACGAUCAGAUACCGUCGUAGUCUUAACCAUAAACUAUGCCGACUAGGGAUCGGACGGGAUUCUAUGAUGACCCCGUUCGGCACCUUACGAGAAAUCAAAG